rnacentral:ncRNA from 1 species
GUUAAGUUUGGUUUUGGCUUGUUGUUUUAAUUUAUAUUUUAAUUUAUAUAUAAAUUUUAGUGUGUUUGUUAAGAGAAGGCUAAUUUUAAUGGAAUAUAGUGUCUUAGGAUUUGUGAUAAUAUUAAAUUAUUUAAAUAAUAAUUUAAGAUAAAAAAUUAAAUUUAAUAGUAGUAAUUAGAAUUGUACAAUGAAAGAAAUUUUGAUGCAGGAAUAUAUAAGAGUAUUGGCUAAAUUUGUGCCAGCAGCCGUGGUUAAACAGAUGAUGCAAUUAAAAUGGUUCGGUGAAUAGUAAAAAAAAAAGAAUAUUAAAUAAAUUAAUUUAAAAUUAAAUUUAAUAAGUGAAAUUAGAAAUUUAAAUAAAAUUAAAUUAUAUUAUAUUUUAAAUCUUGUGAAAUUUUAUAAUUAAACUAGGAUUAGAUACCCUAUUAUAAAAAAUGUAAAAGGUUAUGCUUGAGUAGUAGUAGAUAUAUGAACUUGAAAAUCAAAAAAUCUGGCGGUAUUUUAGUCUAUUCAGAGGAACCUGUUCUAUAAUUGAUGAUCCACGAUUAAUUGUACUUAAUUUCUAAGUUUGUAUAUCGUCGUAGUUGGAAUGUGCUUAAAGGGGUGAAUGUUCAUAAUUUAGAAUUAUAAGGGAAAUCAGAUCAAGAUACAGCCGAUAAUUAAGAAGAAAUGGGUUACAAUAAAUUUAUUUAAUAAGGAUGGUUAUAAUAAUUAACAUUAUUAUAUAAAAUGGAUUUGAAGGUAAUAUAUUUAAGUUAAAAUGUAUGAUUUAAGCUCUAGAGUAUGUACAUAUCGCCCGUCGCUUGCAUCGAAAAUUAAGAUGGAAUAAGUCGUAACAUAGUAGGCGUACCGGAAGGUGUGCCUGGGUUGGU